GAUGAAGAACGUAGCGAAAUGCGAUAAGUAAUGUGAAUUGCAGAAUUCAGUGAAUCAUCGAAUCUUUGAACGCACAUUGCGCCCGCUAGUAUUCUGGCGGGCAUGCCUGUCCGAGCGACAUUUCAACCCUCAAGCCCCCGGGCUUGGUGUUGGGGAUCGGCGAGCCUCCGCGCCCGCCGUCCCCUAAAUCUAGUGGCGGUCUCGCUGUAGCUUCCUCUGCGUAGUAGCACACCUCGCACUGGGAAACAGCGCGGCCACGCCGUUAAACCCCCAACUUCUGAACGUUUGACCUCGGAUCAGGUAGGAAUACCCGCUGAACUUAAGCAUAUCAAUAAGCGGAGGA
rnacentral:misc_RNA from 1 species